UACAGAGGUCCCAAGCGUUGUUCGGAUUCAUUGGGCGUAAAGGGUGCGUAGGUGGCGGGGUAAGUCAGGUGUGAAAUCUCGGAGCUCAACUCCGAAACUGCACUUGAUACUGCCUUGCUCGAGUACUGGAGAGGAGAUUGGAAUUUACGGUGUAGCAGUGAAAUGCGUAGAUAUCGUAAGGAAGACCAGUGGCGAAGGCGGGUCUCUGGACAGUUCCUGACGCUGAGGCACGAAGGCCAGGGGAGCAAACGGG
rnacentral:rRNA from 1 species